CCUCUUCUUUAUUAAAGAACCACGCAGAAGUGCUCAGGAAAUUACUGUUUAAUCAUGUAAUAUCCAGAUUGCUCAAACAAUAAUCUAGAGAGAGAAUUUUUAUGGCGCAUUUAAUAUUUUGUUAUUUCAAGAACAUGCUGCCUUGUGUAUAGCAGAAUGUCUGCAAACAUUUGUGGACUCAUUGAUUACAGAAUUAAGCUAUUUACAUUUUUAAAAGAAACAUCAAGAAUUAGGCUUACCACUGCUUUAAAAGAUAUACAUCAAUGUUUUUCUGACUGUGAAAAAUUUAAAGUUCUAGAAAUUAUCCUGCAUCAUUUUUAAAGGGCAUGCAUAAGGAAAUACACUCUACAGUCAAAAUAUUAAAAAUAUCAAUGCAAGGUGGAGACAGCAUGACAAACAUUGCAAAAGAGGAAAGAAACGCAGGCCAGGGUCGCCCACCCACUUACCAGCUGGGGGCACUGCUGUUGGGGCACAUGAUUUACCCAUAUUGACAAAAUUCCUAUUAUUGUUGUUACUCUAGUUUUUAUCCACAAAAUACACACCAGAGUCAAUUGGUAAGUGGAAAAUAAUUAUUUUUUCUGGAAAUCCUAAUCAGUAUUUCUCAGUGUUUACAAAGAAUCGAGGAAGAACAAGUGGCUUCAAAUACAACAGAAAAUAUUUCAUUCAAUAAAAGCAUUUGGAGGAAAAUAUUGCAGCAUGGCCUUCCUGGCUUCAAGUGUUCUCGGGAAGAAAAUGCACAUCCGUCUGUGAUGGCUUGACAAAACAUAUCUGCUGAGGAGGAAAAGAGGCCAAGCUCAUCAAUCUCUUAAGAUUUCCUUGGCUACUGGGAAGUGAGGAGCCCCUUUGCCCAGCUGCUGCCCGUCUGGGAAGACAGGAGGGCCUCUGCCCAGCUGCUGCUCCAUCUAGGAAGUGAGGAGCGCCUCUGCCCACCCCCGGCAUCAUCUAGGAAGUGAGAAGCACCUCUGCCCGGUGGCCAACAUCUGGGAAGUUGGAGCACCUCUGCCUGGCCACUGCACUGUCUGGGAAGUGAGGAGCGCCUCUGCCCAGCGCCGCACUGUCUGGGAAGUGAGGAGUUCCUCUGCCUGGCCUCCACACUGUCUGGGAAGUGAGGAGUUCCUCUGCCCUGCCGAGGCCCUGUCUGGGAAGUGAGGAGCGCAUAUGCCCGGCCGCCCCCCUCGUCUGGGAAGUGAGGAGCCCCUCUGCCCUGCCGCCCAACUGACUGGAAAGACAGGAGUGCCUCUGUCUGGCCGCCACCCUGUCUGGGAAGAGAGGAGUGCCUCUGCCUGGCUGCCCACCUUCUGGGAAGUGAGGAGCACCUCUGCCCUGCUGCCCAAUUGACUGGGAAGAGAGGAGCACCUCUGCCCAGCUGCCCACCUUCUGGGAAGCAACCCUCCAAGUGUGAAGUGACAGCCUUGUGUGUGAUCUUUCUGCCCUCCCCAAGUUUGCAUUUUUUGACACUAAAGUUUACUUUUUAAUUAAAAAAAAAUUCCUUUGCUAUUAGGGCUUUUUAGUUCCAUACGAAUUUUAAAAAUAAGUUUUGCUAGUUCUGUGAAGAAUGUCGUUGGUAAUUUAAUAGAAAUAGCAUUGAAUCUGUAAAUUGCUUUGGGCAGUAUGGCCCUUUUAAUGAUACUGAGUCUUCCUAUCCAAGAGCAUGGAAUGUUUUUAUAUUUGUUUAUGUCAUCUCUGAUUUCUUUGAGCAGUGUUUUGUAAACUUCAUUGUAGAGAUCUUUCACCUCCCUAGUUAGCUGUAUUCCUGGGUAUUUUAUUCUUUUUGUGGCAAUUGUGAAUGAAAUUGCAUUCCUGACUUGGCUCUCAGUUUGACUAUUGUUGGGCUUACCAGUUUCUGAUCAGGACAAUUUCUGGAAUUCAUUCUGUCUCUUCAAGUUCUUUGCACAGUAACUUUUCCUUAGGCCCCUUAAUCUGUCACUGAGGAAAAUUUUAAGAAAAUACAGAAUGGUGCAGGAUUAAAAUGGCCAUCGAUCCCACCUCACCACAAAGGGUUGGCUUUGUGUUUGCAGCCUGCUUUUCUCUUCCUCAAUUGUUUUGGCACAACUGGCUGAACAAAUAGUGUUUUGGAGUGUGAAAUGAUGAAAUAGUGUUUUAACAUGAAACUCCAUGGCAACAAUGUAAUGCAUUCAUGGUAAGGGGCACAGUCAUAAGAUGUGACUCUGCCAAUGUUUGAUAUUUUACUAGUGUGUACAAACUAAUUAAACUGAUUGCACUAUAAGCAUGACUUGAUAUUUCCAUGUACUUUCCUCUGACAGAAAAAGUGUCAAAUGUAAAAUCUGAUCUUAAAUAAAGGCCUG
rnacentral:lncRNA from 10 species